CUGAUGUGAAGCUGAAACUGAUGCAAUAUCAAAGAAUGGACACUGUACUUUAACCUGAUACCGGACUUCUUGUUUGCAGUUUGCUUUUACAGCACUGUCAGCACAGCUAUGGAGAGGGGCCGAGCUUCAACAUCCACUGAUCCUCAGAGCCACUGAAAGCCUGUGCCUGGAGAAUCCCCUGGCCCACUCCUGGCUUGUGCCAGGGCACAGACCAACCUCGAGGCUUUGCUAAUGGCUUCGGAAUGGGGUCUGCUACCAGUCACUGGCAUGGCAUGAGGAACCCCACGGCCUUCCUCGGGCUGCUGAGCACCACUGCGGGCUGAAAAUGCUGCGGCUGCUCACGUGUGUCCCAGGGGAGCUGUGACCGAGCUGAUGUUUGCACCUUGCCCAGCGUCCUGCAUAGGCAAGUAUGUUGCCCUGGAAGGCAGAUUACCAAAUCUGAGAAGCUGCUGGUCUUUAAAGCCCAGCCUGCUGUGCCGGGGCUGCGACCGCCUGGGGAGGGCUGCAGGCGGGGGAUACGCCGUUUGCUCUGGGACAAAGCUGCGGCUGGGAGAGCAGCCAGCGCGGUGAGCUGCCAUCGCAGGGCGGGAUGCUGGGCUCGGAGCGUGGGAGGGAUGAGUGGGCGCGGAGAGGGCUCGUAAUGCCUUACUGGACCCAUGAGCCUCUGAUGCCCGUUCUGAGACACGGGGUUUCUUGUCUUUCACAAGAUGAAGGAGAAUAAUCGAAUGAGCGCUUUAGCGUGCUAGACAUUUAACAACAUGCUGAAUUUUGAGUACUGCAGUAAA